CCCGAGAGGCGGGAUCAGGGCGAAGGGCUGGCGCCCCCGAGUGGGUGUGGUCACGCUGCACACCAGUAGGCGGUGAUUGGCCCUGGGCGGUGCAAUCGCAACUCGUGCGUCACUACGCCGCCAGCUGAUCGGAGACUGGAGCCGGUGUGUGCUGGGCGCUGGGAAGAGAGCGCCGCCGGCCGUGGGGCACGGACGCACUGAUUUGCUCCCCAACCUUGAGCACCCCCCACACACCCAGCACCAGGAGCCGGUACCUCCCACACCCUCACCUGGCUGAGCCGCAGUAGUUCUUCAGUGGCAAGCUUUAUGUCCUGACCCAGCUAAAGCUGCCAGUUGAAGAACUGUUGCCCUCUGCCGCUGGCUUCGAGGAGGAGAAGGAGAAGGAGCUGCUUUCGCCCUCAUCUGGAAGGAUGGUGUGUGAAACUCAACUCAGGCCUGUGCAGGCAGAAAAUUCUCCCCUCCAGCAACCAGGAGAGCUGAGUUCUGGGACUCAACCCGCUUUGGGGCAUCAGGCAGUGUAAACCUGCCAUCCCCAGUUCCUGAUCCAAUCUCACUCUCCAGCUCAGGCUCUGGUGUGGUUCAGCCUUGGCCUAGAAUCCCUGCCUGAAGGUGGCUGGCUUCAGGGGCUGCAGGAAGCUGUUUGUUCUAUUUUGGGGGAAGAGGAGCUGGGUCCUAUUACCCAAUUAUGAGAAACUCAAAGAUUUAGGGGAGAGUAGACCAUUGAACCCAGCUCUUCCACAGCUUAAGCCGGAUGUGUGUGGGACUGUGGUAGAAGGGGGUGGGUAGACUGAGUCCACUCAACAAAGAUCACUCUGUCCCUGGACAUUGCUUCCAUCCUUUCUUCCCCUCCUCGCUUCACUGGCCACAGUGUUUCCUUCCAGCCCUGGGUGUGUGGCUCUGCCAUCCUCACCUAUCAUGGAGCAGAGAUGAGGAGGAGCAUCCUGGGAACACAGGCAGGCGGAAGAUCAGUGAAGGACAAAGCCUGGAGAGCACAGGACGUGUCUGGGCACCCUGCAGAGGGGGGGCAUAAAGGCCAGGAGCACCCCAGGAAGAGGGAGGACACCCAGCCUCCAGGAAGGACAAACUUCCCGGCAUCUUCAAUCUUUCCACCUCCUUCAGAGAUGUGGGACCAUAUUAAAGUGUCCUGUGGCUUCAUCCUCCUACUUCCACCUCUCUCCCACCUUGUAAUUUACAUAUAAGCAGCUUCAAGGAACAAGAGCCAGCUGUGAAAGGACAUACACAGGAAAUUCAUAAAAUAAAAGCAAAUGGAUAAAACCAUGAAUACAAAUGUGUACUUCAUUAUUAAUUAAAGAGAGGCAAAUAUAGCUAUAACCAUUUUUCUUUUUCCUUUUUUGUUGUUGAAAGUAUUACAGAUGUCCUUUUUCCCCCCCAUUGACCUCCUUCACCCCAUCCCCCAAAGCAUUUUUCUCAUAGCAAGCUAUAACAGAAAAAAUAAGACCCAGUUGUUGGCAAAGGAGUACUAAAAUAAUCAUCACAUACAUUGCAUAAAGGGGUACAAAUUGGUACAGCCUUCCUGGAUUUAAGUUUGGUAAUAUGUAUCAAACAUAUUACUAUGGCCUUUGACCUAGUAAUCCUACAUUUGGGAAUCUAGCCUAAGGAAAAAAAAUUAGUUAUAAGAUGUUCAUUCAAAAAAAAAAAAAAAGAUGUUCAUUCCAGCAUUGCAAUAGAGAAGCAAUUGUCUGGGAAUUCAUUUCUGCUGCAAAGAAAAUUUGCAAUAUCUAUCCAGAAGGUGGAGUACUACACAGCCAUUAAAAGUCAUGUAAAAGAGCCCUAGCCCGUUUGGCUAAGUGGAUUGGGUGUUGGCCUCUGGACUGAAGGGUCCCAGGUUCAAUUCCAGUCAAAGGCACAUGCCAUGAAAUCAAUAAAAAAAAUAUUUUUGAGAGUCAUGAAGAAUAUUUGGCUGAAAAGAAAAAUGUUCUUUAAAUAUUAAAAAAGGUUAUAGCCCUGGUCAGUGGCUCAAUAGUUAGAGCAUCAGCUGGUGCACCAAUGGGUCUCUGCUUUUAUUCCUGGUCAAGGGCACAUACCUGGGUUGCAGGAGGCAACCAAUCCAUAUCCCUCUCCUCUCCCUUCCUCUCUUUCACUCUUUAAAAAUCAAUGGAGAAAAGACUCUCGGGUGAGGAUUAACAACAAAAAAUUAAAAGGUUAUAAAAAUAGUGUAUAUCAUGUGGUCUCAAUUUUGUUUUUUAAAAUAU